rnacentral:rRNA from 1 species
ACACAUGCAAGUCGAGGGGUAACGAUUUUGAGCAAUCAAAAGGCGACGACCGGCGCACGGGUGAGUAUCGCGUUUGUAACCUACCUCUGACUGGAGCAGAGGGCGAAGAAAUUCGGAUUAAUACUCCAUAAUACUGCGAGAAGGCAUCUUUUUUCAGUUAAAGCUUCGGCGGUCAGAGAUGGGCAUGCGUAACAUUAGCUGGUUGGUGAGGUAACAGCUCACCAAGGCUACGAUGUUUAGGGGGUCUGAGAGGAUGGUCCCCCACACUGGUACUGAGACACGGACCAGACGGCUACGGGAGGCAGCAGUGAGGAAUAUUGGUCAAUGGGCGAAAGCCUGAACCAUCCAUGCCGCGUGAAGGAUGACGGCCCUAUGGGUUGUAAACUUCUUUUAUACGGGAAGAAACCCCUCUACGUGUAGGGGGCUGACGGUACCGUACGAAUAAGCAUCGGCUAACUCCGUGCCAGCAGCCGCGGUAAUACGGAGGAUGCAAGCGUUAUCCGGAUUUAUUGGGUUUAAAGGGUGCGUAGGCGGAAAAUUAAGUCAGUGGUGAAAUCCUGCAGCUUAACUGUAGAAUUGUCAUUGAUACUGGUUUUCUUGAAUACAGUUGAGGUAGGCGGAAUGAGUAAUGUAGCGGUGAAAUGCUUAGAUAUUACUCAGAACACCAAUUGCCGAAGGCAGCUUACUAAACUGUGAUUGACGCUGAGGCACGAAAGCGUGGGGAGCGAACAGGAUUAGAUACCCUGGUAGUCCACGCCGUAAACGAUGAUCACUCGUUGUUGGCAAUACACCGUCAGCGACUGAGCGAAAGUAUUAAGUGAUCCACCUGGGGAGUACGAUUGCAAGAUUGAAACUCAAAGGAAUUGACGGGGGCCCGCACAAGCGGAGGAACAUGUGGUUUAAUUCGAUGAUACGCGAGGAACCUUACCUGGGCUUAAAUGCAUAACGACGGAUCGGGAAACUGGUCUUUCUUCGGACGGAAUGCAAGGUGCUGCAUGGCUGUCGUCAGCUCGUGCCGUGAGGUGUCGGGUUAAGUCCCAUAACGAGCGCAACCCUCAUCAUUAGUUGCCAGCGGGUAAUGCCGGGGACUCUAAUGAAACUGCCGGUGUCCCCCCCGAGAGGAAGGCGAGGAUGACGUCAAGUCAGCACGGCCCUUAUGUCCAGGGCUACACACGUGUUACAAUGGUCAGUACAAAGGGCAGCUACCAGGC